AGGUGAUAUGAACCGUUAUAACCGGCGAUUUCCGAAUGGGGAAACCCAGUGUGUUUCGACACACUAUCAUUAACUGAAUCCAUAGGUUAAUGAGGCGAACCGGGGGAACUGAAACAUCUAAGUACCCCGAGGAAAAGAAAUCAACCGAGAUUCCCCCAGUAGCGGCGAGCGAACGGGGAGGAGCCCAGAGCCUGAAUCAGUGUGUGUGUUAGUGGAAGCGUCUGGAAAGGCGCGCGAUACAGGGUGACAGCCCCGUACACAAAAAUGCACAUAUUGUGAGCUCGAUGAGUAGGGCGGGACACGUGGUAUCCUGUCUGAAUAUGGGGGGACCAUCCUCCAAGGCUAAAUACUCCUGACUGACCGAUAGUGAACCAGUACCGUGAGGGAAAGGCGAAAAGAACCCCGGCGAGGGGAGUGAAAAAGAACCUGAAACCGUGUACGUACAAGCAGUGGGAGCCUCUUUAUGGGGUGACUGCGUACCUUUUGUAUAAUGGGUCAGCGACUUAUAUUCUGUAGCAAGGUUAACCGAAUAGGGGAGCCGAAGGGAAACCGAGUCUUAACUGGGCGUUAAGUUGCAGGGUAUAGACCCGAAACCCGGUGAUCUAGCCAUGGGCAGGUUGAAGGUUGGGUAACACUAACUGGAGGACCGAACCGACUAAUGUUGAAAAAUUAGCGGAUGACUUGUGGCUGGGGGUGAAAGGCCAAUCAAACCGGGAGAUAGCUGGUUCUCCCCGAAAGCUAUUUAGGUAGCGCCUCGUGAAUUCAUCUCCGGGGGUAGAGCACUGUUUCGGCAAGGGGGUCAUCCCGACUUACCAACCCGAUGCAAACUGCGAAUACCGGAGAAUGUUAUCACGGGAGACACACGGCGGGUGCUAACGUCCGUCGUGAAGAGGGAAACAACCCAGACCGCCAGCUAAGGUCCCAAAGUCAUGGUUAAGUGGGAAACGAUGUGGGAAGGCCCAGACAGCCAGGAUGUUGGCUUAGAAGCAGCCAUCAUUUAAAGAAAGCGUAAUAGCUCACUGGUCGAGUCGGCCUGCGCGGAAGAUGUAACGGGGCUAAACCAUGCACCGAAGCUGCGGCAGCGACACUAUGUGUUGUUGGGUAGGGGAGCGUUCUGUAAGCCUGUGAAGGUGGCCUGUGAGGGUUGCUGGAGGUAUCAGAAGUGCGAAUGCUGACAUAAGUAACGAUAAAGCGGGUGAAAAGCCCGCUCGCCGGAAGACCAAGGGUUCCUGUCCAACGUUAAUCGGGGCAGGGUGAGUCGACCCCUAAGGCGAGGCCGAAAGGCGUAGUCGAUGGGAAACAGGUUAAUAUUCCUGUACUUGGUGUUACUGC
rnacentral:rRNA from 1 species